CUAAGAUCAAAGCUAAAAUGGACAGAUCAUUUCGUAUAGGCAACUGCAAAAUCACCCAGCUAGAGCCAGUUUGGAAAUCAUGUGUGUCUUCUCACAAGUAAGCUCCUGAGUGCUCCCAGUAAGUUUUGCAACGUACUGCUUGUGGUUGAAGUUUUAAGAACUCAACAUUUAGAGGAAGAUAGGGUAGAGCAUUUGCUUCACAGCCAGCACUUAUGAAGAAUCCAGUCAUUACCAGUGCUGACCCAUCCAUAUUUCUUGAUAGCAGUGCUCAGAGCAGUGGGGCUGCCUCAGAAGAUCUAAGGACUUCAGCCUUAGGUUGAGGGCUGAUGGGGUAUUCAAAGUCUUUUACAACUUGGUAGAGGUAAGAGUUUUGACCCCUUUAUUGUAUAGGACUCAUCUGAUAUUCAUAAACUUUGGGGUGAGUUCACUGCUGCCUGUCAGGAGGGUUCUGAAAUUCCUGAGAUUGCAUGUAAAUUUUCGUGAGCAUGUGAACUUUUUCCCCAUCAGAAGUGUACCUUCCUAAUUUUUAUCCAAUUUUCAAGGAGAUCUGUGACAUAUCAUAUUUUAAGAGCCACUACUUUAGUCAAUUUUUCUCCUUCCUCACUUUUCUCCAUUUUUUGGAACAAUUGUCACCACUCCCACUCAGAAAAUAUUUGAAGAAAAAGUGCAGAUCACUAACAACAAUGCCUUCUUAAAAGUAAACUAUCAGAAAACAUGUAUAGUAAUGCACAUGAUCAUCCACUAGCAUCACUGUAAGAAAGAAAGGGUUCCCCUAAUGAACACUAUCAUUUUAAGAAAGGGAAAGAAAAAUAUCAAUCAACCUAUAAAAGGUGGAAGUCCAUUAUCAAAUAUAACAAUUUUCUGAGAAAUGAUCUGUGAGUGCCAAUACAAACAUAACCACAUUGCCUGCUCUGAUUUUUAAAAAAGGAGUGAGAGAAAAAGAAAGAAGCUAAAGAAAACAGCUCCUCCUUUGCCACCUAAUAUUGUUCUGGGGAGUUCACAAGGUCAGGAACUUGACACUGGUUUCGAGUGGAAGCCAGUCAAGCAGGAUUUCUUUGCCCUCUGGACAAAUGGUUGGCCUACUUCAGGAAUUUUGAAUAAUUAUUGCUGUUCUCUUCAGCCAGAAGUUUACCUUUCAAAAAGAGUAGAGCUUGUGGCAUUAACUUAAUCCCAUUGCCUGAGUGCACAAAAUCAGUUUUGCUUUGCAGUUAUUAUUCCUAAUUUAUGUAUCUGAGAUCUAUCCUAUCCUACACAAAAUCAGUUUUGCUCUGGAGAGGUAUUGUUCCUAAUUUAUGUAUCUGAGACCUAUUCUACCUUAUUCCUUCGGUCCUGGUGAAAAGGAAGCACUCAUGGUGUUGCUUAGGCAUAAUGCCCAAUACCCUGCCCUUCCUGGAAGGAAAUCCCCUCACAGCUACAAGGUAGUAGAGGAAGCAUAUCAUUGUUCCUGCUGUGUCCAACGUCAUUUUUCUCUAAGAAGCAUGGAGACAGUAGUUUUGUGUCUGCAAACACCACACUCCAGAGUUUUUCAUUUUUUUUUUUUCUUCCUAGAGCCACAGCUGCAGCAUAUGGAGGUUCCCAGGGUAGGGGUCUAAUCGGAGCUGUAGCCACUGGCCUACACCACAGCCACAGCCACGCCAGGUCCCUAACCCACUGAGCAAGGGCAGGGAUCGAACUCGCAACCUCAUGGUUCCUAGUCGGACUCGUUAACCACUGCGCCAUGACGGGAACUCCACAGAGUUUUUCAUUCUCGCUCUCUUCCCAGGAAAACUACCCACAGUAAUCCCCAUACAGAUAGCCUUAUAGUAGCUGAACAAGCUGUAGCACCACAAGAGUAAGAAGUUACUUGUCUGUACUGAGAUCAUUACUGUGCUGUUAUGCAACAAGUAGCUGAAUGAAUAAAACUCUUCAUAGUCAGUCCUUGAACAAAAUAAGGUCUAACUUGUUUUGAAGAAGACAUGGUACUGGCCACCACUGGCCAAGAUUGCCAGCAGUUUUAUUUUCCUCAGGAAGGCAAGGUUCCCUUCCUUUUUAACUCCCUCUUAUUAUUCCUUGGUGAUUUCUAUUGUUUUGGAAUCAUUCUCAACCAACAUAACAAGUACUAUUAACCAUAUGGGAUUACCCAUCUAAAUUCCCAGGGAACAGAGAGUAGCUGUGAAUAUUUUUGUAUGCCUGCUGUAUUAUUGCCUUCGUGCUGCCUCAGAUUAUUAGAGGAAAUUUACCAAGAAUCCCCAAGCAAUUGAUACCUCAGAAAAUUACUCUGCUUCUAAUAGGAAGCCUAUUAACUCAGAGGGAAAAUAUAUUAAGUAUUACUCCAUAAGGUGCUGUAUGGACUUAAAAAUGUGUAUAUACUUUGAUUUAGUAUAGAAAAAAAAUCUUAUCUGUUUUUUGGUUAAUAUGUGUGGGUUUUAAAUUUUGGGAUGUGUGUAUCAUAACAUCAAUCAAGGCAUUUAGUCUUCCAGCCCAGUGCAAACAACAUACCCAGCAAGAAUUCCUAACUUUUUUGCAACCUAUGCAGUUGACCUUGUUAUAUAGUUAAGCAGGCAACAAGACAAGGGUUUUGCACAGUUUUUCAAUACUUUUGACUCAUGUUUGUUGAUUGCUCUAGCAUUUCAGUACCAAAAAGGAUUUCUAGAUUUAAAAUACAGUUUUCAGAUCACUGAACUUUUGAUCUUUUAUGCAAUUUACCUUGGUACUUUAUCACUCAAGCUUUUCAGCUAUAUCUUUUUAUCACCAUUUUACAGACAUAGUAGAGAAAAGAUUUUAAUGACAUUUAUUUACCAAGUGUUUUGAGUUCUUUAGAUGAAAUUAAGUACCCUCUUAAAUUUGUUGAGGCUUGUUUUGUGUCCUCAGAGUUCAUCUGUAUCGUCCCAUAUAGCAGGAUUUCAUUAAGGCUGAAUAACAGUCCUUUGUAUGUAUAUAUCACAUUUUCUUUAUCCACUCACCUGUUAAUGGGCAUUUAGAUUGUUUCCACAUCUUGACUAUUGUAAAUAAUGCUGCAUUGAACAUCAGAGUAAAGAUAUCUCUUGGGAUCCUUAUUUCAAUUAUUUUGGAUAAAUAUUCAGAGGUGGGAUUUUCUGGAUCAUAAGGUAGUUCUAUUUUUAAUAUUUUGAGGAAACUCCAUAUCAUUUUCUGUGGGAGCUAUACCAUUUUUACAUUCCCAUUAACAGUAUACAAGGGUUCCAAUUUCUCCACAUCCUCACCAACGUUUUAUUUUUUGAUGAUAGCCAUCCUAACAGAUAUGAGGUAAUAUCUCAUUGUGGUUUUGAUUUGAAUGUCGCUGAUGAUUAGCGAUGUUGAACUCCUUUUUGUAUACCUGUUGGCCACUUACGCUUCUUUGGAGAAAUGUCUAAUCAAGUCCUUUGCCUAUUUUUUAAAAAAAUCUUUUUUGGCUACUUCUCUGCAUAUGGAGUUCCAAAGCCAGGGAUCAGAUAUGAGCCGAAGUUGCAACUUACGGCACAGCUGGACCAAAACCAGAUCCUUUUCACCCACUGUGCAGGGCCAGGGAUCAAACCUGCCUCCUAGCACAGCAGAGACACCACUGGUCCUGUUGUGCCACAGUGGGAACUCUUCCUUUACCCAUUUUUUCAAAAUGAGAUUUUUACUCUAUUGAGUCAUAGGGGCUGAGUGUCCAGACUUGAUAUUCAAUAAGUUCCUGGGACAAUGAUUUUUAUAUGCUUAUACUUUUGUUGGUGCCAUUUAAAGGAACAUUGGGAAAAUGUUUUUUGCCCACAAUGUUGGUGUUAGAGGCAAAGUUAAGUCCUGUGCUAGUUUUUGUAAAUUUUAAGUAACUGUAUUAUCUCUAUUAUAACUUGAUUCCCAUCAGCAUAUAAAGCCAAUAUACAAAACCUCCCUCUUGGGAUGGCCAUGGCAGUUUGCCACUCAGGUCUGCCUUUAAAAUAGACUUUGCCGAUCAGCUUCAAGGAGUUCAGUUAGCUGAGAGCCUCCAGCCGUGGCACUAUGAGAUCCACUGCAGCAUUUAAGCCAAGGAAAGCCUUCUCCUAGAUAACCCUAGCCAAUGACGGACCAUGGCAAGGCUCCCAAAUACUGGCCAUUCUGCUUCAUGAAGAACACCUCAAUGGGCAGUCUUGAUGACAGGGCUCCCUGACUGGGCUAGCUGAGACUUCCUCAGAGCUGCACAGUAGUCUCUUCUGACCUAAUUCUCCUUCCCUUCCUCCUCUCCUUUCACAGGUCUCAAACCUGUGUAGUUAUCUAUAGGUUGCCCUGCCUAUUCCUGCUCCCUCUUCAUCUCCUUCAAAGCCAUUAUCCCAAUAAAUCCUUGUGUUUGUCUCCCCAUCUUAUGGUCUAACCAGAUGACCUAACAAACACACCUCCCUUGAGUCCCAAAUCCCUGUUUAGCUGCAACCCCAUUUCUUUGUUCUGUUCUGCAAUAGAAUUGUACAAGAGCCAUCAAACACUGUGGUUUCUACUACCUACUUCCUGCUUACUCAUUAACCUCCAUUUAUGUCUUCUUUUAACAAUGUUCCACUUGAAAAGUUUUCUCUGUUGGAUCAAUCUCUCUCCAUGUUCCAAGUCCAAUGGAUACUUUCUUGUCAUCUUACUUUGUCUCUCAUCUCCCUGAUUUGAUAUUUUUAAGGGAAUGGAAAAACUACUUUUCACUUGCAAAUAAGAGAGCCAUAUCAGGUGCUAGUUAAGAGUAUGGCUUUUGGAAUUAUAUAGUAUUGACCCUUAAAUCUGCUAUGUAACCUUAGGCAAAAACAUUUCUCGCUGUGCCUUGGUUUCCGUGCCUAGAAAAUGGGGUAAUAAUAGCAUCUACCUCUUGAAAUUGUGAAGAGUAAGCUAGUUCAAGGCAAUUCAAACAGUGGCACAGGAGUUGCUAGCAAUUGUUGAUAUUAAUUAAUGACAUGUUCUUUUGGUUUUUCUCCUACUUCUGAGCCCUCUGUCUCCAUUUUUCUUCCCUAGUUUUUUUCUUGUAAAUGAAGAAGGAACUCUAAAUGUUGGAGUGCUGCAGAACUUGAUCAGGUGCCUACUUUUCUAGCUAUACUUUCUCCUAGCCCAGUGAAUUUACAUACCUCCUAGAUGCCAGCAGCUCCUAAGUAUAUGUCUUUAUCCUUGACCCAUAUCCAACAACAUUUGACAUUUCUACUUGUAUAGUAUAAACAUGUCAAGUUUAACAUAUCAGAAACAGAACUCCUGAUAACUCCAUCUUGUCAAAACCUGAGCUAAGCUUCCCCACUCCAGCAACUUCUCAUUCGCUCAAGCUUAAAAAACCGUUUUUCCUUCUACUACCAUCACUUUGGUCUAAAUCACCAUUUCCUCUAGCCUGAAUUAUGGAAAUAGCCACCAGCCUGGGCUCCUAGCUUUCACUUGUGUUCCCCUCUGCACAGAGUUGCCAAGUUUGUCAUUUUAAUGUGUAGCAAAAUUAUGUCACUCCCUCCUUAAAAUCCUUCUUUGGCUUCUGAUUGAAUUCAGAAUAAAAUCUAAACAUUUUCCUUUGGAUUACAUAAUACCACGUGAUCUGGUCCCUGCCUAUUUCACACUCAUCUAUCAUCUCCUUCCAGAUUUGUUAUAUCCCAAUGCUCCUGGUCUACUCGCUGCUUUUUAAGGUGCUAAACUCUUAUCAGCCUUGGGAGCCUUGGGUUUGCUCUCUCUUCUCUAUGCAUUGCUCUUCUUUUUUUUUUUUACCUGACCAGUUACUUCAAAUUUCAGGUUUCAGUUCAGAUGGCACUACAUUUGGGAUGCUUCCCACUAUCUAAAAGAAUGUAUAACUGCCUUUGUUGACUAUUCUUUGGCCUCCUCUAGGACUCUUGAAAAUCCAAAAUUGUGUUGGUUGUUUAUUAUCUGUCAUUCUACAUUAGAAUUUAAUCUGCCUCCAUGAGAGACCUUACCUCUUAUUCACCUCACCUCAAUAUACCCACUGCCUAGUGAGUGUAGUGCCUGGUACACAGCAGGCUCUUAAUAAAUUUGGGCUUAAUUAAUAAAUGACUGAAUCUGACAGUGAACAUUUUAUCCAAAACAAAAACAAAAACCUAACUGAUUAACAAUUUAAAAGCAUCACUCUGGGCAAUAGAAUGUAGGUACUCACAGCUCUUACUAUCUACACUAGAAAUUGUGGAGGUCAAGCAGAUGAAAAAAGUUAUAAUAUUAGAAAUGUUUAAAAUGGAAACUAAUAUGUAAAAGAUUAGAAUGCUAACAUUUUUGUCCCAGGUUUUUCCAUAAAGCUUAAGUUAUGUUAAAGUUUAGGUAGAUAUUGGAGAAGUUAGGGAAGUUAAACAUGUCUUAACAUCUACAAAUAUGCUAAGAACUUAGCUAGAUUCUUUACACAAAUAAAAAUGUAUAAAGAAUGUAUAUAUAUUUAUCAGAGACAUUUACUUUCUAUUUUUAUAUUGAUUAAAAAUAAGCUAUAAUAAAGUAUAAAGUUUUUGCAAAAUAAUACUUUAUUUCCUUUUAUGUUUUUAAAAUAAUACUUGAUACAUUUCCUAUGUAAUAUGAAAAUUGGCACCUUAAAAUAAGAGCUUAAGAACCUAUAAAGCCAUUUUCUAUUGUGAGAGGGGAUAAUGCAUUUUACAUUUUAAUCAGUCAGAAAUAAAACUGUCAUAUUUCUUUAUAAGUAGAAUACUUUUCUGAGCAUUUUCAAGGAUUUAUAUAAGGUAAAGGGAGGGAUUUAAAAGAUAAAAAUGACAGUCAUCAUCUAAACACUUGAUCUAUAGUUAUGAUUUGCUAGAUUGCUAGUAAGACUUCAGUGAAGUAGCAGACUGUCCAUUGCACAGAUUUUAAAAGCAUAGAGGCUUAGAAAAGUUGGGUAACUUACCUAAAUGAACUCUAAUGAAAUGAUCUCAGUCAAGAUUUAAAUCCAGGUCACUCUGAUUUCAAAAUUUUUAAUCACUGUUUUGGGCUGAGUGUCCCAUACUGAAGCCUCAGUCUUCAAUGUGAUGGUAUUUGGAGGUGGGGCCUUUGGUAGGUAGUUGGGCUUAAAUUUGGUCAUAGGUGUGGGACCCUCCUGAUGAGAUUAGUGCCCUUUUAAGAAAAGACAAGAGCUCUCUCUCUCAGUCCCUCUGUCUUUCCAGGAAGAUGCUCAGAGGAAAGGCCAUGUGAGCACACAGUCAAAAGCUGGCUCUUACCAGGAACUAAUUCUGUGCGCGUACCUUGAUCUUGGACUACCCAGCCUCCAGAACUGUGAGAAAUAAAUGUCUCUUAUUAAAAUCACUUAGUCUUUGUUAUCAUGUUACAGUAGCCAAGCAGAGUAAAGCCACUGCAUUGCUAAACAAUCAUUAUAUUGGCUCUAUGGCAUGAAAAGAAAAGUCAUUUUAAUGAGAAAAAGCCUAAUUCUUUACUGCUCCAGCUAUAACAGUGAAAUCCACAAGGGAUAUUUCUCUUGGUUCAAUAAUAUUUUAUUAGAAUUUAAGUUAUAAAUGAAUAUGAUGAGCUUAGUCAUCAGAGAGACCCAGAUCUCUCUGCAGAGCUGUGGUUGAAGCUCAGUAGGGAUCCUUCAGUGUAUUAGACUACAUAGCAAACUCUCUGGGGUGCCUUGGUUUCAUAAGCACUAAAAAUCUGCAUGGGUAUUGAAGGGAAGGCUUGAAAGAACCUCUGAGGUGACCCAGAGUCUGAACUUCCCUUGCCUGUGCUCCCUACUAGGGAUCUUGGUUGAUCAAGCACAGAUUUUCACUCAUAGCCAGCAGCAACUGCACCAGCGAUACUUUAAGCUUCCCCAGGGAUGAAAUGCCUCGUCACUCAGCAACCACUUUGGCAGACUAAAGGGUGACAUUGAUUGGCUCUGAACAAGCGAGUAAGAGGAAGAGUGUCCAAAUCUCCAG
rnacentral:lncRNA from 1 species